rnacentral:rRNA from 1 species
UACGUAGGGGGCUAGCGUUGUCCGGAUUUAUUGGGCGUAAAGCGCGUGUAGGCGGCCACGCAGGUCAGCUGUGAAAACUCGAGGCUCAACCUCGAGACGUCGAUGGAAACCAUCUAGCUAGAGUCCGGAAGAGGAGAGUGGAAUUCCUGGUGUAGCGGUGAAAUGCGCAGAUAUCAGGAAGAACACCCGUGGCGAAGGCGGCUCUCUGGUACGUGACUGACGCUGAGACGCGAAAGCGUGGGGAGCGAACAGG